rnacentral:rRNA from 1 species
UCAGAGGCGAUGAAAGACGUGAUAGCCUGCGAAAAGCUCCGGGGAGGCGGCAAAUAUCCUUUGAUCCGGAGAUGUCUGAAUGGGGGAACCCACCUACUUUAAGGUAGGUAUUGCAACAUGAAUACAUAGUGUUGCAAGGCGAACGAGGGGAAGUGAAACAUCUCAGUACCCUUAGGAAAAGAAAUCAAUUGAGAUUCCCUCAGUAGCGGCGAGCGAACGGGGAUCAGCCCAUUAAGUUAUGUGUGUUUUAGUGGAACGCUCUGGGAAGUGCGAACGUAGAGGGUGAUAUUCCCGUACACGAAAGGGCACACAUAAUGAUGACGAGUAGGGCGAGGCACGUGAAACCUUGUCUGAAUAUGGGGGGACCAUCCUCCAAGGCUAAAUACUCCUGACUGACCGAUAGUGAACCAGUACCGUGAGGGAAAGGCGAAAAGAACCCCUGUGAGGGGAGUGAAAUAGAUCCUGAAACCGCAUGCAUACAAGCAGUGGGAGCACCUUCGUGGUGUGACUGCGUACCUUUUGUAUAAUGGGUCAGCGACUUAUAUUCAGUAGCGAGGUUAACCGUAUAGGGGAGCCGUAGAGAAAUCGAGUCUUAAUAGGGCGUUUAGUUGCUGGGUAUAGACCCGAAACCAGGCGAUCUAUCCAUGAGCAGGUUGAAGGUUGGGUAACACUAACUGGAGGACCGAACCCACUGUCGUUGAAAAGCCAGGGGAUGACUUGUGGAUAGGGGUGAAAGGCUAAUCAAGCCUGGUGAUAGCUGGUUCUCCCCGAAAGCUAUUUAGGUAGCGCCUCGGACGAAUACCAUAGGGGGUAGAGCACUGUUUCGGCUAGGGGGUCAUCCCGACUUACCAAACCGAUGCAAACUCCGAAUACCUAUGAGUACUAUCCGGGAGACAGACUGCGGGUGCUAACGUCCGUAGUCAAGAGGAAAACAAUCCAGACCGCCAGCUAAGGCCCCAAAAUCAUAGUUAAGUGGGAAACGAUGUGGGAAGGCAUAGACAGCUAGGAGGUUGGCUUAGAAGCAGCCACCCUUUAAAGAAAGCGUAAUAGCUCACUAGUCGAGUCGGCCUGCGCGGAAGAUGUAACGGGGCUAAAACUAUGUGCCGAAGCUGCGGAUGUAUACUUUGUAUACGUGGUAGGGGAGCGUUCUGUAAGCCGAUGAAGGUGUGUUGAGAAGCAUGCUGGAGGUAUCAGAAGUGCGAAUGCUGACGUGAGUAACGACAAAACGGGUGAAAAACCCGUUCGCCGAAAGACCAAGGGUUCCAGUCCAACGUUAAUCGGGGCUGGGUGAGUCGACCCCUAAGGCGAGGCCGAAAGGCGUAGUCGAUGGGAAAAUGGUUAAUAUUCCAUUACUUCUGUGUAAUGCGAUGAGAGGACGGAGAAGGCUAAAUCAGCCUGGCGUUGGUUGUCCAGGUGAAAGGAUGUAGGCAUGUAUCUUAGGCAAAUCCGGGGUACUCUAUGCUGAGAUCUGAUAGCAAGCUGUACUUGUACAGCGAAGUGGUUGAUGCCAUGCUUCCAGGAAAAGUCUCUAAGCUUCAGUUACACAGGAAUCGUACCCGAAACCGACACAGGUGGUCAGGUCGAGUAGACCAAGGCGCUUGAGAGAACUCUGCUGAAGGAACUAGGCAAAAUGGUACCGUAACUUCGGGAGAAGGUACGCUGUUGUUGGUGAUGGAACUCGCUUCCUGAGCUGACGACAGCCGCAGAAACCAGGCCGCUGCAACUGUUUAUUAAAAACAUAGCACUCUGCAAACACGAAAGUGGACGUAUAGGGUGUGAUGCCUGCCCGGUGCUGGAAGGUUAAUUGAUGGGGUUAGCGUAAGCGAAGCUCUUGAUCGAAGCCCCAGUAAACGGCGGCCGUAACUAUAACGGUCCUAAGGUAGCGAAAUUCCUUGUCGGGUAAGUUCCGACCUGCACGAAUGGCAUAAUGAUGGCGGCGCUGUCUCCAGCAGAGGCUCAGUGAAAUCGAAAUCGCUGUGAAGAUGCAGUGUACCCGCGGCUAGACGGAAAGACCCCGUGAACCUUUACUGCAGCUUGACACUGAACUUUGACCUUACUUGUGUAGGAUAGGUGGGAGGCUUUGAAGCUGGAACGCUAGUUCCAGUGGAGCCGUCCUUGAAAUACCACCCUGGUAAUGUUGAGGUUCUAACUCUGUCCCGUGAUCCGGGACGAGGACCGUGUCUGGUGGGUAGUUUGACUGGGGCGGUCUCCUCCUAAAGAGUAACGGAGGAGUACGAAGGUGCGCUCAGCGUGGUCGGAAAUCACGCGUAGAGUAUAAAGGCAAAAGCGCGCUUAACUGCGAGACCCACAAGUCGAGCAGGUACGAAAGUAGGUCUUAGUGAUCCGGUGGUUCUGUAUGGAAGGGCCAUCGCUCAACGGAUAAAAGGUACUCUGGGGAUAACAGGCUGAUACCGCCCAAGAGUUCAUAUCGACGGCGGUGUUUGGCACCUCGAUGUCGGCUCAUCUCAUCCUGGGGCUGAAGCAGGUCCCAAGGGUAUGGCUGUUCGCCAUUUAAAGAGGUACGCGAGCUGGGUUUAGAACGUCGUGAGACAGUUCGGUCCCUAUCUACCGUGGGCGCUGGAAAUUUGAGAGGAUCUGCUCCUAGUACGAGAGGACCAGAGUGGACGAACCUCUGGUGUACCGGUUGUGACGCCAGUCGCAUCGCCGGGUAGCUAUGUUCGGAAGGGAUAACCGCUGAAAGCAUCUAAGCGGGAAGCCUACCUCAAGAUAAGAUUUCCCUAGGACUUUAUGUCCUCUAAAGAGCCGUUCGAGACUAGGACGUUGAUAGGUUGGAUGUGGAAGCAUAGUGAUAUGUGAAGCUGACCAAUACUAAUUGCUCGUGAGGCUUGACUAU